rnacentral:rRNA from 1 species
GACGAAGGGGGCUAGCGUUGUUCGGAAUUACUGGGCGUAAAGCGCGUGUAGGCGGUUGCCCAAGUCGGGUGUGAAAGCCUUGAGCUCAACUCAAGAAAUGCACUCGGUACUGGGUGACUAGAGGACCGGAGAGGAUAGUGGAAUUCCCAGUGUAGUGGUGAAAUACGUAGAGAUUGGGAAGAACACCAGUGGCGAAGGCGGCUAUCUGGACGGUUUCUGACGCUAAGACGCGAAAGCGUUGGGGAGCAAACAGG